AUAAUCAUGCGUAUUUGUGCUUUUGUUUAUUUAUGGAAUUAUAUGCAUAUCAGUUAUCAGCUUAAUAAAAUUAUAACCUAAAAACUUGAAAUAUUUUGCAUAGCACUGUAUCAGUCAGGGUCCUAUUUGGAACAUAGAAACUACCUUAGAUAUUUCAAACAGAGGGAACUUAAUGCAAUGAAUUGGUUGCAAGUUUUGAAAAAAUGGAAGAGCCAAGGAAAGAAGAUGAGGAUUCUGUGAAAUCAGUAACUAGAAAGUCACUAAGCUCUCCUGAGGUCAAAGGAGCAGAGGGCUUUCUGGUGUUCUCAGGACCACUCAUGUGUUCCUUAAGCUGCUGGUUGAACUGCUGCAAUAGUAAGCCAGGAGCUCAUAAGCUCACUGAGGCUGCAGGAUCCAGGAACUUAGGCCAUUAGGACUUACCUACCCCUGCCACUACCAGAGCCAGGACCAAGACAAGAAUCAACUUCCCCCUUCCACCUCCUAUUUGCAUAUGAUUGUCUUCAAUUGGUAGGACUACACAGGAAACCAACAGUGGGUUCUGGAAAAUGACUCUCCAGCUCCCUUGGAUACCAAGCAGAAUAUAGAAGUGCCAGUGUGAGACUGGGCAUCAACAGAGAAGGUAUUUGCUGCUACUAUAACUAGUAUUGAGUUUCCCCUUUUAUUCUUCCUCGUCCUAUGGACCUUCCAUAAGGGGUCCACGAGAUUCUGAGAAACACUACACCAUUCUGAUAAAUGGAGCAUGAAACUGGACUAAGUCAGUGAGUAUAUACCAACCCCAGGCUAAUGACUAUAAGAUGUGGGCAUUUGACCUAAGACAGUGCUAUCAUGAAAUUCUGGGACUUUUGCAGAGAGCUAUGGGAUGCAGAACCUCUCCUCCUCUGGAUGGCAUCAAGUGCAGAGGUUACACCUUGGGCUGCCUCCUUUGUAUUGUUACCAUGAGGAAAAACAGCCUGAAGAUGAAACUGACAGGGACAGAACAACUGGACUGAGAGAAUGCCAGAAGCCUUAUGGAAGCACACUUCGAGGCUGCCUUUUCUCCGAAGUUCUCAAUUAUAGAAAUUUUUUGUACACUUCGGACUAACUGUGCCUUCUACGUGGAAUCCUACCAUGGUCUAAAUGUUUGUGUCCCUGCAAGAUUCAAGUUGAAAUCCUAAAUUCCCAAAGGUGAAGGUACUAGUAGAUGGAGACUUUGGGAGAAGAUGGAGUCAUGAGGGUAAAGCCCUCCUUCAAUGGGAUUAGUGCUCUGGUAAAAGAUGCCCUGCAGAACUCCCCAGCCCUUCUGUUUGUGAGGAUGCAAGGAGAGAUCUGCAACUUGGAAGAGAGCUCACCCAACCAUGCUGGCAUCCUGAUUUCCCUUUAGAGCCCUCAGAACUGAGAGUACGUUCCAAGCAUGAAAGAAAUAGAAGAAAUUACAGAGGAAAAAGCCAAUAUUUGAUGCCCUCAAAAUGGCAAGCUUCUGUACAACAAAAAGACCUUAAAUUAAAUGGGGAAUGAAAAACUGUUGGGAAUAUUUGUAGCAAUUAUUUCCUAAGUAAAAUAUAC